rnacentral:misc_RNA from 1 species
GUCCAUCGCCAUCCCAGGUUACAGCAAAUUCAAAUUCAUCCAGGCUGGAAGAAGAACACGGCACACCAACUCGACACCUGCAAUGCAUCAUCGAUGCGUGAAGGGAACGACAGCAGAGUCAUCCGACGACGGCUGCAGCGCGCUGAUCCUGACCACGUAGCUCUUCUGGCUCGACGCGACGCUGCUGCGGCCCGAGCCGGAGCUCGGGCGCGUGUCGUCCGAGGAGCCGUCACCGCCGAAGAGGCUGGAGGAGCUGGAGUCCUCCUCCUCCUCCUUCCCGUAGGCGCUGCCGAUGUGCCCCCCGCACUUUCGGCAGAGCAGGCGCGACCGCCUCCUGAAGAGGCCCCAGGAGCGGGCGGAGCGGAAGUAGGGCGUGCAGGUGAGCUCGUGGGCCAGCGUGAACCGGCUCUCGUCGACCGCGACGAAGGCGACGACGCCCUUCCUGAUCUGCUUGCGGUACUUGGGCCCGAUGCCCUCCGUGUCCCGCGCCGAGGAGCUCAGGUUCAGCGCGUACCCGCAGUACCCGCAGCUGCCAGUGCCAGUGGCAGCAACAGUGGGUGUGAGUGGAGAGUGACAGACAUGUCGCCAGCCAGGAAAACCACCCGGCAGUUUCAGGUGCAGAGGGCGUGCGUGCGUGUGAUGAAUGCUGGUGCUUGAAAAAUUGUCACUUUUGCAAAGGACUCGGCAGCUGUAUUUCUCAGCCGCCCUGACCGAAACCUUAGUCCUUAAGUAAAGAGUGACACGCCGAGUCUGGGUUUGGGGGUAUGAAUGAAUCGGUGCUUCCGCUUGUCCUUGGCAAGCUUGCGGAGGCCAAUCGGAGAACGGAAAAUGAUUGGGACAAUUCGCACCAAUCGCUUAGUUCCACACACACACACAUACAGUAGGGCGAACUACAUAGCGAAUCAAAAGGUAGCAAAGAGAACGAGUAGCAGAUUAGCAGUAAACCGCAACUCAAAUAUUCCCCUACUUCCUAGUGAAAUAUUCCGUACUUCCCACUGAGGAUCAGAGAUGGAUGGAUUCCAAAUGUUUUGAUCCAGCAGGCCGGCAACAGAAGAAGAAGGAAGUUGAGAAGCGGCAGAGAGAGAGAACCGAAUCGCGUAGGCAUCGAACCUGUAGGUGACGUCCUUGAUGGAGGAGUAGCUGUCGAGAGACCUCUCCAUGGCCGACGAUUAGGGACGGUGUUCGCUUCGCUGGCGCAUCCACUUUUCUCUCCUGCUGAUCAGAGAGCAGACGGGACGGGAGAGAGGAGACGUGGGGCGAGUGCGGGUGGGGGAGAGAGAGCGGGGGUCAGGAAUUCAGGAACGCGAGCGGUUUGCUUAAAAGGAAGUUGUUUGGUCGGGUUGCGCCACCGACCGGACACGGAGGAUUGGCCUCCGGCCGAGGCUUUGCGCCGCUGCUAGUUACGCAAUUCU